rnacentral:rRNA from 1 species
UGAAAGGGCCGCGGUAUAUUGACCGUGCGAAGGUAGCAUAAUCAUUAGUCUUUUAAUUGAAGGCUUGUAUGAAUGGUUGGACAAAAAGUAAGCUGUCUCAAUUAUAAUAAUUGAAUUUAACUUUUAAGUGAAAAGGCUUAAAUAAAUUAAGGGGACGAUAAGACCCUAUAAAGCUUGACAAUAAUUUAAUUAUACUAUCAAUUGUUAGUAUAACUUGGUUUUAAUUAAUAUUUGUUGCGUUGGGGCGACGAGAAUAUAAUAGGUAACUGUUCUUAAAUAUUUAAUAACAAAUAUAAUAUG